CCGAAUGACAAGCACUUCUUCAAGGUGACUGAUGAGUCUGCCUUGAAGGACAUUGUGGACGCGCGUGGGGAUAGGAUCUUCAGUUUGGAAGGGACCAGUAAGAACGGGACAGCCUUCGGCCUCCAGAUGUCUCAGGCUGGCUUCUUCUCACACUUCGUGGAGGAUGGGAUCCUGGUGGGGGCACCGGGGGCCUACGACUGGAAUGGAGCCGUCCUGAAGGAGACCCGACAGGGGAAGGUGGUUCCACCCAAGUCCUCCUACUCACAGGAAUUCCCAGAGGAGCUGAAGAACCACGGCGCCUACCUAGGUGAGGGAGGAAUUGACGAUCUAAAGGAUUGGUCACAGAGGGGUUUGGUUUGGGUAGAGCUAUAGACUCCUCUCCCUGAUCCUCUCUUUGCCCUUCAUCCUCUGUCCACCAUCCUCUCUCUGUCCUUCAUCCUCUCUCUGUCCUUCAUCCUCUCUCUGUCCUUCAUCUUCUCUCUGUUCUUCAUCCUCUCUCUGUUACUCAUCCUCUCUCUGUUACUCAUCCUCUCUCUGUUCCUCAUCCUCUCUCUGUUCCUCAUCCUCUCUCUGUUCCUCAUCCUUUCCCUGUCCUUCUGUCUCUCUCUGUCCCUCAUCCUCUCUCUGUCCAUCAUUCUCUCUCUGUCUUUCAUCCUCUCUCUGACCCUCAUCCACUCUCUGACCCUCAUCCUCUCUCUGACCUUCAGCCUCUCUCUGUCCUUCAGUCUCUCUCUGUACUUCAGCCCCCUUCUGUCCUUCAGCCUCUCCAUGUCCUUCAGCCUCUCUCUGUCCUCUCUCUGUCCCUCAUCCUCUCUCUGUCUCUUCAUCUUUACUGUCUCUACAGUCUACUGUUCACCAUCUCAUCUCCUCUCUCUUCAUCUUUACUGUCUCUACAGCUACUGUUCACAUCUCAGCUCUCCUCUACCUUCAUCCUUACUGUCCGUUACGUCUACUGUUCACACAGCUCAGCUCCUCGCGUCUCUCUUCACUUUACUGUCUCUACAGUCUAACGUUCACCAUCUCAUCGCUCUCUUCUCUCUUCAUCUUUACUGUCUCUACAGUCUAACUGUUCACCAUCUCAUCUCCUCUCUCUCUCUUCAUCUUUACUGUCUUCUACAGUCUACUGUUUCACCAUCUCAUCUCCUCUUCUUCUCUUUAAUUUCUCUACAAUCUACGGUUC
ensembl:lncRNA